CUCGAGCAGAGCUUUAUUAACCUGAAAUUGAUUGACCAGAAGGUAUGUUAUUCGAGGUUCUGAGAAUACCAACAUGAGUAAGGAAAAUGUGAUCCCUCUUCCACAUUGUAGCAAUGUUGUUCCUUAAAGACUUCAAAGCCUGUUGGAUGAGAUUAAAGAGCGACAAAGACUUUAGUUAUUAAGUCUUACAUUCAUCAGACGCAAGAGAGACAGAGAAGUUAAGACCUAGCUAAAUAAGACAGAAGUACCUCUUCUGUUCUCUCGUGGCUU
rnacentral:lncRNA from 1 species